GACGAACGCUGGCGGCGUGCCUAAUACAUGCAAGUUGAGCGCUGAAGGUUGGUCCUUGUACCAACUGGAUGAGCAGCGAACGGGUGAGUAACGCGUGGGGAAUCUGCCUUUGAGCGGGGGACAACAUUUGGAAACGAAUGCUAAUACCGCAUAAAAACUUUAAACACAAGUUUUAAGUUUGAAAGAUGCAAUUGCAUCACUCAAAGAUGAUCCCGCGUUGUAUUAGCUAGUUGGUGAGGUAAAGGCUCACCAAGGCGAUGAUACAUAGCCGACCUGAGAGGGUGAUCGGCCACAUUGGGACUGAGACACGGCCCAAACUCCUACGGGAGGCAGCAGUAGGGAAUCUUCGGCAAUGGACGAAAGUCUGACCGAGCAACGCCGCGGGAGUGAAGAAGGGUGUCGGAUCGUAAAACUCGGUUGGUAGAGAAGAACGUUGGUGAGAGUGGAAAGCUCAUCAAGUGACGGUAACUACCCAGAAAGGGACGGCUAACUACGUG
rnacentral:rRNA from 1 species